CAGUAGCCGCGGUAAUACGAGGGGGGCAAGCGUUGUUCGGAAUUAUUGGGCGUAAAGGGUGCGUAGGCGGUUUGACAAGUCAUCUGUGAAAUCUAUGGGCUCAACCCAUAGCCUGCAGGCGAAACUGUCGGGCUUGAGUAUUGGAGAGGUGAGUGGAAUUUCCGGUGUAGCGGUGAAAUGCGUAGAUAUCGGAAGGAACACCUGUGGCGAAAGCGGCUCACUGGACAAUAACUGACGCUGAUGCACGAAAGCUAGGGGAGCAAACAGGAUUAGAUACCCCUGUAGUCCCUGUCUCUUAUAA
rnacentral:rRNA from 1 species